GGGAAACUGCCUGAUGGAGGGGGAUAACUACUGGAAACGGUAGCUAAUACUGCAUAACGUCGCAAGACCAAAGAGGGGGACCUUCGGGCCUCUUGCCAUCAGAUGUGCCCAGAUGGGAUUAGCUAGUAGGUGGGGUAACGGCUCACCUAGGCGACGAUCCCUAGCUGGUCUGAGAGGAUGACCAGCCACACUGGAACUGAGACACGGUCCAGACUCCUACGGGAGGCAGCAGUGGGGAAUAUUGCACAAUGGGCGCAAGCCUGAUGCAGCCAUGCCGCGUGUAUGAAGAAGGCCUUCGGGUUGUAAAGUACUUUCAGCGGGGAGGAAGGCGAUAAGGUUAAUAACCUUGUCGAUUGACGUUACCCGCAGAAGAAGCACCGGCUAACUCCGUGCCAGCAGCCGCGGUAAUACGGAGGGUGCAAGCGUUAAUCGGAAUUACUGGGCGUAAAGCGCACGCAGGCGGUCUGUCAAGUCGGAUGUGAAAUCCCCGGGCUCAACCUGGGAACUGCAUUCGAAACUGGCAGGCUGGAGUCUUGUAGAGGGGGGUAGAAUUCCAGGU
rnacentral:rRNA from 1 species